CAGCAGCCACGGGAAUACGUAGGUGGCAAGCGUUGUCCGGAAUUAUUGGGCGUAAAGCGCGCGCAGGCGGAUAGGUCAGUCUGUCUUAAAAGUUCGGGGCUUAACCCCGUGAUGGGAUGGAAACUGCCAAUCUAGAGUAUCGGAGAGGAAAGUGGAAUUCCUAGUGUAGCGGUGAAAUGCGUAGAUAUUAGGAAGAACACCAGUGGCGAAGGCGACUUUCUGGACGAAAACUGACGCUGAGGCGCGAAAGCCAGGGGAGCGAACGGGAUUAGAGACCCGUGUAGUCCCUGUCUCUUAUACA
rnacentral:rRNA from 1 species